GAUUCAGUCUAGGGACACCCUCCAGAGGUGGGUCCCGACAGUCCCAGGACCCUUCUGCUGGGGGCUCUUCCCUGCAUCUGCAACCUGCAAACACCUUCACGGUGUCACCACAAAGCCAGGAAUGUCAUUCUCGUAGCUCUUCCUCUUCCCUGGGGUAUCUCAAGGCCAGGGCAUGCCUGGCACCGAGCCUGGUAUGAGGCCGUUACUGUCAGACUCAGCAGUGGCUUUCAGAAGUUCAGGUGCAUUCAGCUACCACUGCCCCUUGGUGGGUUUCUAGCUUUUGCUCUUACUGUAACUUGGUGCCUCUCUUCUCACAUAUCUCUCAUAAUUGCAUGGCAGUCAAAUACCUUGUAUCCUUACUGUUAAUAGAAUUGUACUGUUUUAGAAAAUAACGAAGUUCAACCAGCCAAGUGUGGGGAGUAGGCAGUUCAAGUGCUCUGCCCUGUCACUCGCGGUACAAUUCAUUUGUGCAUUGUUGAUGGGUUGAAUGCCGGCUCCCUGCCAGACCUGGAGCGGCCCAGAGGGAGCCCACUGAGAGCCCACCGAGAGCCCUGUCUAGAAAGACCCAGAAGAAGAGCCCAGCGGGGGAUGAGGACAGUUUUUAAAGUCGUACUUGCAACCUAAACAAAAAAGAGAGACAGAAAAGGAGAAGUAGGAGGGGGAAGAGGAAGAGGGCAAGAAUAUGAGGCGAGGAGGAUGAGAAGAAGUAAUCCGAUGGUCCUAGAAAGAUCUGACUCAGAAGUGUUGGAGAAGUCACAGUCCUGAAAGAGACAACGUGAAAACCAAGCCCUCCUCUCUCACUCUCCACACUGCCCCAGGUGAAAUUGACAUACAAUGAAAUGUGGAAGUCUUAAGUGUACAGUAAGACCCCCAGACCACAGGAUGUGACUGUAUUUGGAGACAGGUCUUCUGAAGAGAAUUUCCUUUCUUCUGAAAGAAAUACUUUUCAACUUUGAAGUCCUUAGGAAUUGGUUUUUGGCAUAAUUUAUCCACUGUGUCCCAGGCGGCUUUGAAAUGUUCCUAAUUUCUCUCAGAUGAUGAUCUUUUUUUGGAUUUUCAAGACAAAGAAAGAAAGCAUCUAUAGUUUCACUUUGAAGCUCUUCAGAAAAAUAUUCCUAUGACACUUACCAUGUGGUAAAGAAACUUAAAAUGCAAGAGAAGUUCAAAUUUGGACACAGGGCCGUCCAUCCCACUGAAUGCCGCCUUCACUACAACGGGCCGUGGCCCAACGGCGUCUGAACCCUGCUCCUCACAGCUCCAGGUGUUUCCGAGAAAUCACCUUGCCUCCCACACGCUUCAUCUGCACCCCACUUCCAAAAGUUCGGGGAAAUUCUUGCAGGAGAUACGUUGUGUUGUGCCAAGAACAUCACCGAGGGCAUUUGAGGUCUUUCCUUUCCUCUCAGAACUUCAUUACUACCAGAACCGAUGUGCAGAACUCUUCAAACUGCCUCCGUGCCACUCAGCGUUCUAUACCUUCCAGAUGCGUUGUCAUGGAUCUCGUAGCACGUUCAAGUCGAUUUCACUUGGCUGCCAUUUUUCUUCGCGGGUAUAUUUUUAUAACCCUGCACGAGAUAGAUGAUCCACCUCGGUCACUGCGUCAACAUUCAUGAGACCCAAGAACCUCUAACGUCCUGGAGGAGAGCUGCCCUGCUUCCCAACCCUAAAUGUGCUGCUAUAGUGGGCUCCCAGGUAGCCCGCAGCCAGGCGUGGCCGAUGGGCAGCGCCCUAGAAUAAGGGUGCUGGGUCCCUCCAGCCGCACAGUAGGGGCCAACAGCGGAGAGCCUCUCGGAUGAGAAUCAGGGCCGCCCAGUUCCAGGAGAGAGCGUGGUGCGGGGAGGUGCAAGGGGCCGCUAGAGAGCUGGGGCCAGCAGACUUGGGUGGUCUGGGAGGACCUGCAGAAUCCUUUCCUGUCCCUGGGGGAUGGGGACACAGCGCACACCCUCCUGGGCCACCUCCACGCACAGCCAGCCUGUCAGCUGGACCUGAGGCUUGGGGCAGUUAGAGGUGCAAGAAUGCACAGGGACCGAUUUCCCUCUUAGCACGGAUUUGCUGCAUCCCGUUAAGUUUUUGGUAUGUUAUGUAUGUUGGUCUGUUUGUAUGAUUGGCAUGUUGUUUUCAGUUGUCUCAGGAUGUUCUUAAAUUUCCCUUCUGAUUUCCUGUUUCACCCGAUGAUUGUUCAAGAGCAUACUGUUUAGUCCCCAAGUAUUUGUGAAUUUUCUCAUUUUCUUUCUUUUUUUUUUUUAAUUUAAAUUCAAGUUAGUAACAGACAGUGUACUCGUGGCUUCAGGAGUAGAACCCAGUGAUUCAUCUCUUCCAUAU